rnacentral:sRNA from 1 species
AUACCCAGGUUGGGCUGGAGAGAUGGGGUUUGGGGCAUGGGAGGAUGAGGAGUUGGGGAGGCAAAGAGCGAGGCCCACUGAAGCCGGCUGAGGCCCGGCUAGUGCCAAGGCUUCUGGCCACUCAGCUCUGCUCACAGUGAAGGUCUUCUCACCAGUCCUCAGGCUGCCACACUGCCCUGCAGGGACUGUUCCCUCCCUGCUCAAGCCCCUUUCCCAUGCUAUUCCAGGUGAUCUGCUCAUGGAGAGAAGGAAACAUUGCAACAGUCUGCAGAGCAACACGUCUUAUUGGGCUGUUCACCCACCCAUAUCCCUCUUUCCAUCAGCCAACCUAAAUAUCCACAAACUGACCAUCUGUCCUGUCUCUUUUUAUCCAUUCUGCCAUCCAUCUCGUCCCUCCCACCUGGCUAUUAGAUAUCUCUGUCUUUCCUCUGGUCCAUCUAGCCAGUGGCUUUAGGAAGGGGUGGACCCACCCUGAGCAGUUGCCCUGGGCCGGGGUCAGGGGAGAAACCCAGGGGAAGGUAGGCCCGAAACUCCUGAAAGUGGGCGUUGGGUGGCUCUGGGAAACAAGCAGCAUCACAGCCGCUCCUCUUGUCCCUUUCCCAGGGCCUGAGCCCAGGCUGCUAUGACACCUACAAUGCGGACAUUGACUGCCAGUGGAUCGACAUAACCGACGUGCAGCCUGGGAACUACAUCCUCAAGGUGCACGUGAACCCAAAGUAUAUUGUUUUGGAGUCUGACUUCACCAACAACGUGGUGAGAUGCAACAUUCACUACACAGGUCGCUACGUUUCUACAACAAACUGCAAAAUUGUCCAAUCCUGAUUUCUGGGAGGGACAGAUGGCCAAUCUCUCCCCCUCCAAAGCAGGCCCUGCUCCCCGGGCAGCCUCCCGCCGAGGGGCCCAGCCCCCAACCCACAGGCAGGGGCAUCCCUCCCUGCCGGCCUCAGGGAGCAAACGUGGAUGAAAACCACAGGGAUUCCGGAUGCCAGACCCCAUUUUAUACUUCACUUUUCUCUACAGUGUUGUUUUGUUGUUGGUGGUUUUUAUUUUUUAUACUUUGGCCAUACCACAGAGCUAGAUUGCCCAGGUCUGGGCUGAAUAAAACAAGGUUUUUCUAC